ACUCUAAACUCGCCCGGCUGAACCGACCGCACCGUCGCCCGCAGGUCCCUCCUGUCCGAGCUUCCCUCGCCCCCUUCCUUCGCGCCCGCAAGCAGACUCGUCGGCGAUUCCGCACCUCUGCCAUGCCAAGCCAUCGGCGACCUUCCCUGUUGGACCUCCGGCCGCUCCUCUCCCUCGCAUCUCUCCCUUCUUCACGUUCUUCUCAAUCUCCUCUCAACUCUCACCCUCUUUCUUCUCAAUCUCCUCCCACUCUCUCCCUCUUUCUUGCUGAACAGGGACCUCCAGGAGGGCCAUGGCGCCGCCGGCCCUCAAUCUCGCCGGAUCCGACCGCCUACACGCCAAAUCCGUCGGAAAUGGAUCCACCCAGACCAGAUCCGACCGGAUCCAACCGAGCCCCGUCGUCGUCGCCACCGGAGCUCGAACGGGCCGAACUGCAUCGUCAGGAUGCACCCGCCCCGCGGUAUGCUCGAUCCGGUGAUGCGCGAGUCGCCGGCCGACGACGAAGAUCGCAGCACCCGCACCAUCGUUCCGCCUCAGGUCAUCCUCUCUUCUGCGCGCAUGACCUCCUUGAUGUGCUCCGCCUGGGAGGGCUCGCGCUCGCCGCUCGACCAGAGCCAGACGCCCAGUUGGUCGUCGUUGCACUCGCCGACAACCUUGUCGUCCCCUCUGUACUGCCAUCCACCUCAACUUCGGACACACAUUAUUGGAAGUGAGAAAGUUUGAUGUAUAAUCAGUGUCGCCUCCACUCUGCCCCGGCCCUCUACAUUUUCUCGAUGGCAAUGUGGGCCAUCAUGCUACUCAUUUUGGGUGCAACCACUUCAUCUCCAACCUGACGGAGGAGAGGAUUGCAGACCGAGCAGACAAACAAUAAGGCAUAGAGCAGAACCAUGCCUCUUCCCCUUACUCUCCUUCACAAGCGAGCCAAAAACACCCCAAGUUGUGGCACCCAUCAUGUACGAAUGGGUUGCGAGACAAGCAUGUAGUGGAUGAUGUCAGGCUUGCAUGGCAUACAUGGCUGCAGACAUGUGAUGGGAAACAUGCAGGGAAGCUUGGGCCUCGUAGCUCAAGGACAAUGUGGGCUACUACAAGACCAAGACAUGCAUUAAAAGAUGAUUACAUUUAGGAGUGGAUGGUAAAGAAGCUUCUGAUUUUGUUCAAAUUGCAGGUAUAUGUUUGAAAAAUAUUUAUUCAUGUUCAAAGAGUGUCCUCUAGAUGAUAAUGUAGAAAAUAGUUCAUCGUGCACAUUUUUCUCGACAAGCUGGAACUUCCAAUUAUACUGGUUGUACGUUUAAUAUUA